rnacentral:rRNA from 1 species
AUUGAACGCUGGCGGCAGGCCUAACACAUGCAAGUCGAGCGGAUGAGAGGGGCUUGCUCCUUGAUUCAGCGGCGGACGGGUGAGUAAUGCCUAGGAAUCUGCCUGGUAGUGGGGGAUAACGUUCCGAAAGGAACGCUAAUACCGCAUACGUCCUACGGGAGAAAGCAGGGGACCUUCGGGCCUUGCGCUAUCAGAUGAGCCUAGGUCGGAUUAGCUAGUUGGUGAGGUAAUGGCUCACCAAGGCGACGAUCCGUAACUGGUCUGAGAGGAUGAUCAGUCACACUGGAACUGAGACACGGUCCAGACUCCUACGGGAGGCAGCAGUGGGGAAUAUUGGACAAUGGGCGAAAGCCUGAUCCAGCCAUGCCGCGUGUGUGAAGAAGGUCUUCGGAUUGUAAAGCACUUUAAGUUGGGAGGAAGGUCAGUAAGUUAAUACCUUGCUGUUUUGACGUUACCAACAGAAUAAGCACCGGCUAACUUCGUGCCAGCCGCCGCCGUAA